rnacentral:rRNA from 1 species
UGGGGAAUAUUGCACAAUGGGCGCAAGCCUGAUGCAGCCAUGCCGCGUGUAUGAAGAAGGCCUUCGGGUUGUAAAGUACUUUCAGCGGGGAGGAAGGUGUUGUGGUUAAUAACCACAGCAAUUGACGUUACCCGCAGAAGAAGCACCGGCUAACUCCGUGCCAGCAGCCGCGGUAAUACGGAGGGUGCAAGCGUUAAUCGGAAUUACUGGGCGUAAAGCGCACGCAGGCGGUCUGUCAAGUCGGAUGUGAAAUCCCCGGGCUCAACCUGGGAACUGCAUCCGAAACUGGCAGGCUUGAGUCUUGUAGAGGGGGGUAGAAUUCCAGGUGUAGCGGUGAAAUGCGUAGAGAUCUGGAGGAAUACCGGUGGCGAAGGCGGCCCCCUGGACAAAGACUGACGCUCAGGUGCGAAAGCGUGGGGAGCAAGCA